ensembl:lncRNA
GGACCAGUUAACCAGUCAACCAGCCAGUCAACCAGCCAGUCAACCAGCCAGUCAACCAGGGAACAGCUGGGACCAGUUAACCAGUCAACCAGCCAGUCAACCAGGGAACAGCUGGGACCAGUUAACCAGUCAACCAGCCAGUCAACCAGCCAGUCAACCAGCCACUGAACAAAGAAAGGUAGUGGAUGUGUGAUUCACAGCCCCAGAUAUAGAAUAUCACCUCCUUCUCCUCCCUGCAGUGGAUUUCCUGGAAGAGGGCUUCUGAGAUGGCUUUGGGGAGAAGUGGAGGAUCUGGUUCUUAAAAGCUCUUUUUUCUCUCUCAAUUGCUCUUUUUCUCCUUUCUUUCUUUCUUUCUUCAGCUCUCUAUUUUACUCUCUCUGUUCACAGCUGAAUACAUGAAUGUACAGAAUUGUAUAUGAUGAAAAUAAAUAAAAAUAAAAAUCUGUAUGUGGAAAUGUGACGUAUUCCCACAGACAGUCUGUAAUUAACCAAUUUGAGUCAAUGCUUUUAACAAGCAUGAGGUCAACUUCCUGCUUUGAAGUCAAAGGUGAACCAGAUGAGUUAACCACCUCCUGUGCCACUCCAAAUUAGAUUUUUAUGAAGGAUUUUGGCAUGUGUAGUUUUUUGAGCAUGGAAUUACUCACAGUUGACAUUCAAUAAGUGCAGAGGAUUUUGUAGUAUUUUUAGUUGCAUUGCUGACUUUAAAGUGGGUUUAGUAUGUAAAGGGGAAACUGCACACUGUACCCUCAACCUACUUUAAAACACAAUGUGUGUAGUGAUAUGUCUCUGUGGCCUUUCUUGUCUGCAAAACACCCCAGGAGAGAAAAAGAGGAAGAGUAGAGGAUGACAAGAUGGAGGACAAAGAGAGGGAGGAAAUUAGUAAGGAAUAGAGUAUAAAAGGGGAAGGGGGAGGAGAGUAAUGGAGGUAGG